GUGUUACUGCGAAGGGGGGACGGAGAAGGCUAUGUUGGCCGGGCGACGGUUGUCCCGGUUUAAGCAUGUAGGCGGAUGUUCCAGGUAAAUCCGGAACGUCACUAACGCUGAGGUGUGAUGACGAGGCACUACGGUGCUGAAGUGACAAAUGCCCUGCUUCCAGGAAAAGCCUCUAAGCAUCAGGUAACAUCAAAUCGUACCCCAAACCGACACAGGUGGUCAGGUAGAGAAUACCAAGGCGCUUGAGAGAACUCGGGUGAAGGAACUAGGCAAAAUGGUGCCGUAACUUCGGGAGAAGGCACGCUGAUGGUAAGUGAAGCGACUUGCUCGUGGAGCUGAAAUCAGUCGAAGAUACCAGCUGGCUGCAACUGUUUAUUAAAAACACAGCACUGUGCAAACACGAAAGUGGACGUAUACGGUGUGAC
rnacentral:rRNA from 1 species